AUUGAACGCUGGCGGCAGGCUUAACACAUGCAAGUCGAGCGGGGGAAGGUAGCUUGCUACCGGACCUAGCGGCGGACGGGUGAGUAAUGCUUAGGAAUCUGCCUAUUAGUGGGGGACAACAUCUCGAAAGGGAUGCUAAUACCGCAUACGUCCUACGGGAGAAAGCAGGGGAUCUUCGGACCUUGCGCUAAUAGAUGAGCAUAAGUCGGAUUAGCUAGUGGUGGUGGUGGGGUAAAGGCCUACCAGGGCGACGAUCUGUAGCGGGUCUGAGAGGAUGAGACGCCGCACUGGGACUGAGACACGGCCCAGACUCCUACGGGAGGCAGCAGUGGGGAAUAUUGGACAAUGGGGGGAACCCUGAUCCAGCCAGGCCGCGUGUGUGAAGAAGACCUUAUAGUUGUAAAGCACUUUAAGCGAGGAGGAGGCUACUUUAGUUAAUACCUAGAGAUAGUGGACGUUACUCGCAGAAUAAGCACCGGCUAACUCUGUGCCAGCCGCCGCCGUAA
rnacentral:rRNA from 1 species